AGAAGCUAAGAGCCAGCAUUUGUUCACCAUGUGCUCAUUUCCCGUCUCUAUGACAGGCUGCCAUGCUCCAGUUUGUGAAUGCCCAUCCACCUGUGAAGGGCUGAGCCAAGCCCUGGGCAUGUGGCUUCAUCUCCUGUGUCAAUUCAGGCAAGAGGAAGAGAGAGGAGGAAGCUUCUAGAUCCAAGCCAGAGGAGGUGGAUGCAGCAUCCGCCACCCACAGCUUUGGGGCCUGGCCCAGCCUCCACCUGGCCAAGACACCCAACCCCGACCCCACCCACAUGGCGUGCAGAUGAGUCUGAGAUGGUGCACACUGACCCAUGGCAGAGUUACAGUUAUGGAACAAUCCGAAUGACUGAAUUACAGCACCACAGUAACGAUUCUGCAACAUUGAACUUGACUGUCCCGAGGAAAUCACAACUGCCAUCUCAAGAAAGCCUGUCUGCAGCAACCAUUCCAUGGUCCUCAAAGACGCGGCCACUGGGGAGGCUGGUUUCAAAUCGCCCCCAACUCCGGCUGGAGAGAGCUGAGGAGGGAGGCAGCGGCCCGGGCUGAGUGGGAAAUGCCUGCACUGGAGGGUUGGUGGCCCCCAUGCUGGAGGCAGGAACGGGAGGCUCCUUGAAUUGCCCUCUCUUCUGCCAGAGAGGCGAGGCAGGCCCUCACUGUGCAGCAGCCCAGCCAGCACCAAGAAGGAAGUAGGUGCCCAUGGGACCCUCGCCUCUCUGCGGAAGGGCCGGUGGAAGUGUAGCCUGCACCUUGGGCCAGCCCUGCUCCUAGGAGGGUCCUGCUGCUUCAUUUGCUCUCUCUGUCUCCUUCUCCUCUCCACUCUCACCCUUUUUUCCAGGAACCUUGAACCCUCGUUUUCACCCAGUCCCAUCAAGAAGCCAAGUGCUCCCUCCUGAGGCCAGAGCUGAGUGAGGAGCGGCUUCCAUGCUGGUGCCCGCCGCUCCGCUGCUCUCCACGGAUCCUUUGCAGCCGUGUCCUGGUCCUGAGGCAGUGACACAGAAGCCCACGUCCCUUUCCUUUCUGUUUGCCUGUUUGUAGGUGGGACCAGGCUUCCUGUCCGCCCUUCCCUAGAAGGCAAGGCCUUUAGGUCCCCCCUCUGCUGACUCAGGCACAAAAGGGUUUUCUUUCUUAGUUUUGGAAUCUGAGCAGAAGGGCAGAUGCUGUGGAUCAUAUUCUCCUUCUAGUCUCUCGGUCGCUCACGUGGGAGUAAGUAGGAGCUGUGGGCACCUCGUCCUUAAGCCAUUAAAGACGUGGUGAGUUUUAUUGAGCCUGCCGCCCACCCUGUGAUAUCUUUUGCUGGUUUGCUUCUCCAAAAGCAGACCCCAGACAAGGAUCAGUGUCUGUGGGGUGGUCUCAGGAACACUUAGUUGGGAGUGGUGGUGAAAUGGAAAAGGCAAGAAUCCCAGGCUGGGAGCAGGCCCUACACGGGCCACUGAGCUCAGCCCACUGGGGCGCUGGGGAGUGUGUGUGCUUCUGCCUUCAUGACGCCUGGGGCCUUGGGGUCUGGAGUGAGCUCAGGGAGGCCCCACGGAGUGUGGGGGCUGCAGGCUGGUCCUUUCUUCACUGACUGCUGAGGCUGGGGCCUCCUCCUGCUUCUGUGCUGUGCUUUGCGUCGCCAGAGAGAACUCCCAGUGAGAGUGAUUCAGGAGGCAGGUGCUGCCACGUCCUGACUGCAGAGAAUCUCCUGGAAAAACGGAGGCCAUGGUUCCUGAUGCCUGAGCCGGCGACGACUCUGAUCACACUGUAAAGGGCGGCUAUGAAUUUUUCCUCUUUCUCAAACAACGAUGCAAUCAUUGGGAUCACUUGUCCUCCUGGGAUGGGUUUGUGCGAGGCUGAUGUCUUCCAAAAAACACAGCCCCAAGGGAGUUGAGAUGAUGUACCAGGUAGAAUAACGCACAGGUGAGCCACUUGACAAAUCAGACGAAGGCAGCCGGCCUGCCUGCCAGGGCGAUGCCAGCGAGUUGUGUUUCUGAGAGAUGAAGGAAGCCUUCCCUCCAGGUUUCACGUGGAGUAGUGCCUCCCCGCGUGAUUCCUGGCAGCAGGGGAUGCCAAGGCUGCAGUGGCAGAAUGUUGAGCUGCAUGGCCGGCUUCCACUCACACGAGGCCAGCAGCAACCCCCUCCUCAGGGAUGACAACCAGAGUGUCCUCCAGACACUGCCAGAUGUCCCUUGGGGGGAAUUGUCUUUGGCUGAGAAUCACUGCUUUAGACGGGUGACGAUCUUUUAAAUGGACAGUACUGUUCCUGGCUCUGAGCAGUCAGUUCCCUCCCUCCCUGUUUACUUACAAAACAGCCACAUCCCCGGGAUUACUAGUGAGCCAGCAGAGGGGUGACCAAAGAGAUGUCACAGUUCGCUUUUCUUUGUGAUCAAUACGUGGAAUGAUUUAGGGGCCUGUGUUAAAAUUACAAAUCUUCUAUAGAAGAUUUUAGCAGUAAAAAAAAUUUAAAAAACCUAUGAAAUAAACAGAGAUGGCACAUUCAGAGGCUCCAAAUCACAGAGAAAGGACCUGCAUCCACAGUAGCUUUUGCCUUCCUUCUCUGCUGCUGUUUUGACUCAUUGAUCUUUGGGUCUGUUGGAUUUUUUGUGUUGGGGAGAGAGGAGGGAAGAGGCAGGAGGGCCAUUCUCAUGGCAAGGUGAGGUCUCAGGGGCCGGGCUGGGAGUUAGGGGGCACUGGGGUCCCACCCAGGUGGCAGGGCCAGGCAGGUCAUGGCACCUGCUAUGGUCAUGCUGAAGUCCUGGAGGCAACAACCAUCGUUACUUCUAGACGACACCAAGAAGGGAAAGAACACAUCCUUUCAACUUUUCCUUAAGGAGAUCUUUAAGGCAGGUUGGAAGAAUUUGAACUCCUGCCUUCGCAUGAACAAAAAUGUGAAGGGGAUUUUUAAAACUCGGAUUUGAUCUUUACGGUAACCAGACGGAUUUUAUUUCAACAUGCCAGAGUUUUCACAUCACGUCACCACUGCACUUCAACGUGCUGUUCUUGAGGCUGUUUAAAGUUCAGCCUUGGCAUCUAACAUGGCGCAUCUGUUUUAACUCCAGGCGUGGGGGCUCCUGGGGAAACGACGACUUCUGAUGCCUGAUCACCCCCAGGCUGACACCCUCCCUCCUGCCCAGGGCUGAGGCUGGACCCAGGGCACCUCCUUUUAAUGGCCUCUCUCUUCCUCGCUAACACAGAGCAAUCAUGUUACUCAACAGCUGUAUAAAAUAAUUGCCCUAAAAUCACAAAUUGAAAGACAAUCAGCAGCC
rnacentral:lncRNA from 1 species